rnacentral:rRNA from 1 species
CCUACGGGAGGCAGCAGUAGGGAAUCUUCCACAAUGGGCGAAAGCCUGAUGGAGCAACGCCGCGUGGGUGAAGAAGGUCUUCGGAUCGUAAAACCCUGUUGUUAGAGAAGAAAGUGCGUGAGAGUAACUGUUCACGUUUCGACGGUAUCUAACCAGAAAGCCACGGCUAACUACGUGCCAGCAGCCGCGGUAAUACGUAGGUGGCAAGCGUUGUCCGGAUUUAUUGGGCGUAAAGGGAACGCAGGCGGUCUUUUAAGUCCAAUGUGAAAGCCUUCGGCUUACCCGGGGUAGUGCAUUGGAAACUGGGAGACUUGAGUGCAGAAGAGGAGAGAGGAACUCGAUGUGUAGCGGUGAAAUGCGUAGAUAUAUGGAAGAACACCGGUGGCGAAAGCGGCUUUCUGGUCUGUAACUGACGCUGAGGUUCGAAAGCGUGGGUAGCAAACAGGAUUAGAUACCCCUGUAGUC